rnacentral:rRNA from 1 species
UACAGAGGGGGCAAGCGUUAUUCGGAAUUAUUGGGCGUAAAGGGCGCGUAGGCGGCCAUUCAAGUGACGGGUGAAAGCCCUCGGCUUAACCGAGGAACUGCCCGUCAGACUGUAAGGCUUGAGACCGGGAGAGGUGAGUGGAAUUCCCAGUGUAGCGGUGAAAUGCGUAGAUAUUGGGAGGAACACCAGUGGCGAAGGCGGCUCACUGGACCGGAACUGACGCUGAGGCGCGAAAGCGUGGGGAGCAAACAGG